rnacentral:lncRNA from 1 species
AAUAAUCACCCAAUAUUUAUCACAAUAACACAGAAAUACGUGGUUUAAAAAAUUAUUUGACGCAUUUUGAAUCGAGAAAUAUAGUAUGAAGUGAAACAAAAUCGUAUUUUUAAGCAAUAUUUAUUGCAUUUAAACAUUAGCCAAUCAAUGUGUAAAGUUAAUGAGAACGUGUCAGAAAUUAAUUUCAAUAUGGUGAAAUAACAGCAGAAGCAAUUAGGGCAUUGUAAAUUUCACGGAUUUACGGACAUUUCAAGCAGUAAGAUGAGAAACUGCUUCUCAGUUAUACACAUUAAAGUUCUGUACAUGGAAUACAGCACCAAAGAACUUCGAACUGAAGGAAGUUGAUGAAUUUGAAGCGGACAUUGACAUAAUUUGCUGCGGAUGAGACUGGGUGGGGUUUGAUUCAGUGAAUGACACAACACUGCCAUUUUCGAUUGAUGGGACAACCUCGUCAAUAGCAUAUGUAUGUGAGGGCAGGCAAGCGACAGAUUCAUUUGAACUAGAAGCUGACAGCAGCUAAAAUUGGUAUUGUGCGUGGUGCCAGAUAAAAUGGGUCUUCUUCAUCGGAGUAUCCAGAUGGGCGUUUUGCAGCAUAAAAUUUAUACAUUGCCACCGGAUCCCUGUCGCAGGAAGUUGCGAACAUUUUUGGUGCAACUUUGCGGACGUCUGUCAAGUUCUAACCGGUUUAAUGGGGCAUGUUAGUAAGUGGCAUAACAACAGUACCGUUUUGGGCUCUGGA